rnacentral:rRNA from 1 species
GUCGAAUGGCAGCGCGGGGCAACCUGGCGGCGAGUGGCGAACGGGUGAGUAAUAUAUCGGAACGUACCCUGGAGUGGGGGAUAACGUAGCGAAAGUUACGCUAAUACCGCAUACGAUCUAAGGAUGAAAGUGGGGGAUUCGCAAGAACCUCAUGCUCCUGGAGCGGCCGAUAUCUGAUUAGCUAGUUGGUGGGGUAAAGGCCUACCAAGGCAUCGAUCAGUAGCUGGUCUGAGAGGACGACCAGCCACACUGGAACUGAGACACGGUCCAGACUCCUACGGGAGGCAGCAGUGGGGAAUUUUGGACAAUGGGCGAAAGCCUGAUCCAGCAAUGCCGCGUGAGUGAAGAAGGCCUUCGGGUUGUAAAGCUCUUUUGUCAGGGAAGAAACGGUGAAGGCUAAUAUCCUUUGCUAAUGACGGUACCUGAAGAAUAAGCACCGGCUAACUACGUGCCAGCAGCCGCGGUAAUACGUAGGGUGCAAGCGUUAAUCGGAAUUACUGGGCGUAAAGCGUGCGCAGGCGGUUUUGUAAGUCUGUCGUGAAAUCCCCGGGCUCAACCUGGGAAUUGCGAUGGAGACUGCAAGGCUAGAAUCUGGCAGAGGGGGGUAGAAUUCCACGUGUAGCAGUGAAAUGCGUAGAGAUGUGGAGGAACACCGAUGGCGAAGGCAGCCCCCUGGGUCAAGAUUGACGCUCAUGCACGAAAGCGUGGGGAGCAAACAGGAUUAGAUACCCUGGUAGUCCACGCCCUAAACGAUGUCUACUAGUUGUCGGGUUUUAAUUAACUUGGUACCGCAGCUAACGCGUGAAGUAGACCGCCUGGGGGAGUACGGUCGCAAGAUUAAAACUCAAAGGAAUUGACGGGGACCCGCACAAGCGGUGGAUGAUGUGGAUUAAUUCGAUGCACC